GACGAACGCUGGCGGCGUGCUUAACACAUGCAAGUCGAACGGAAAGGCCCUGCUUUUGUGGGGUGCUCGAGUGGCGAACGGGUGAGUAACACGUGAGUAACCUGCCCUUGACUUUGUGAUAACUUCAGGAAACUGGGGCUAAUACCGGAUAGGAGCUCCUGCUGCAUGGUGGGGGUUGGAAAGUUUCGGCGGUUGGGGAUGGACUCGCGGCUUAUCAGCUUGUUGGUGGGGUAGUGGCUUACCAAGGCUUUGACGGGUAGCCUGCCUGAGAGGGUGAACGGCCACAUUGGGACUGAGAUACGGCCCAGACUCCUACGGGAGGCAGCAGUGGGGAAUAUUGCACAAUGGGCGGAAGCCUGAUGCAGCAACGCCGCGUGCGGGAUGACGGCCUUCGGGUUGUAAACCGCUUUCGCCUGUGACGAAGCGUGAGUGACGGUAAUGGGUAAAGAAGCACCGGCUAACUACGUG
rnacentral:rRNA from 1 species